GCUCCAGUGGCCUAAUGGUUGGAGCGUCCGCCUCGGGUGCGGGAGUCCGCUGGUUAGAAUCCCGGCCGAAUCA